UGGGGAAUAUUGGACAAUGGGCGAAAGCCUGAUCCAGCCAUGCCGCGUGUGUGAAGAAGGUCUUCGGUUUGUAAAGCACUUUAAGUUGGGAGGAAGGGCAUUAACCUAAUACGUUAGUGUUUUGACGUUACCGACAGAAUAAGCACCGGCUAACUCUGUGCCAGCAGCCGCGGUAAUACAGAGGGUGCAAGCGUUAAUCGGAAUUACUGGGCGUAAAGCGCGCGUAGGUGGUUUGUUAAGUUGGAUGUGAAAUCCCCGGGCUCAACCUGGGAACUGCAUUCAAAACUGACUGACUAGAGUAUGGUAGAGGGUGGUGGAAUUUCCUGUGUAGCGGUGAAAUGCGUAGAUAUAGGAAGGAACACCAGUGGCGAAGGCGACCACCUGGACUAAUACUGACACUGAGGUGCGAAAGCGUGGGGAGCAAACA
rnacentral:rRNA from 1 species